rnacentral:rRNA from 1 species
GACGAACGCUGGCGGCGUGCCUAAUACAUGCAAGUAGAACGCUGAAGGAGGAGCUUGCUUCUCUGGAUGAGUUGCGAACGGGUGAGUAACGCGUAGGUAACCUGCCUGGUAGCGGGGGAUAACUAUUGGAAACGAUAGCUAAUACCGCAUAAGAGUAGAUGUCGCAUGACAUUUGCUUAAAAGGUGCAAUUGCAUCACUACCAGAUGGACCUGCGUUGUAUUAGCUAGUUGGUGAGGUAACGGCUCACCAAGGCAACGAUACAUAGCCGACCUGAGAGGGUGGUCGGCCACACUGGGACUGAGACACGGCCCAGACUCCUACGGGAGGCAGCAGUAGGGAAUCUUCGGCAAUGGACGGAAGUCUGACCGAGCAACGCCGCGUGAGUGAAGAAGGUUUUCGGAUCGUAAAGCUCUGUUGUAAGAGAAGAACGAGUGUGAGAGUGGAAAGUUCACACUGUGACGGUAUCUUACCAGAAAGAGACGGCUAACUACGUG